AGCGCGGGUAUAGUUUAGUGGUAAAAGUGCGAUUCGUCCUUCCAAGCUAACGAUGCGGGUUCGAUUCCCGCUACCCGCUU
rnacentral:tRNA from 4 species